UACCUGAUAGUCUCUACGGAGUAAAUGAUGCCUUCGGGUGUCGCUAAAGGAUGGGCUCGCGGCCUAUCAGUUUGUUGGUGAGGUAAAGGCUCACCAAGACUACGACGGGUAGCUGGUCUGAGAGGACGAUCAGCAACACUGGAACUGAGACACGGUCCAGACACCUACGGGUGGCAGCAGUCGAGAAUCAUUCACAAUGGAGGAAACUCUGAUGGUGCAACGCCGCGUGGAGGAUGACGGCCCUAGGGUUGUAAACUC
rnacentral:rRNA from 1 species